ensembl:lncRNA
CUGAUGAGCUGGGCAGAGUAACUCCUUGGUGUGCUUUGUGCCCCGAUGCUGUUUGGUAUUUCACAGUUGGACACGUUAGCCCUGUGUCUCUGUCGAGCUCUAUUUUGACCCCUUGUGUUUUCCCACAGCUUCACUUUUCAGACUUCCACUCACAUGGCUGCUGCCUCCCACCCAGGACACAUCCCUGGUGAAUAAAGGUUGACUGAUUAUUUUUUUUCCUCUGCCCUUUUAAGGCGCUGUUUGUUUGCAAGGUAAUGACUACAUGUGGCAACCCCUUCUUUCCUUACGUUCACCUGCAGCCACACAGCUGGCUCCAAAACCAGCUCUGCAGGAGCAGAGAGCGGCAGAGGGUGCUCUUGUGAGCUGGGUGCCUGCAGAGCCUGCUCACAGCCAAGGCGGGGAGAAGCCCAGCCUGCUGCUGGGUGAAACAACAAGCUCUGCAGGUCAGGAAGCUGUGGUCUUGUGCUGCAUGGUGUCUGCACAGAGCUGCCUGCCGAGAGCGAGCUGAAGAGUGGGAGAGCUUGGAUCGAGAUGCUCGGGAUGCUCGGGAGCCCCUGGUGAGGAGUGGUCUUGUGGUUUAAAGGAGACAAAGUCCUCCAGGUUGACUGGCAUGGAAGCAGGCAUGGCUGGAUUCCCGUUCUUCUCGCUCACCGGCUUCUGAGGCUCUGCAAAGCUGAGUGCUGUUGACUAACGGUUACGAGGCUUUUGCUUUUCAUAACCGGGGACCGAAAACCCCCUACUUCUGCUUGGUGGGGCUUCUUUCGGUACAACUCCCCAGGGCACCGCGCUGCGUUGGCUGUGGCCCCGUUGGCCAUCAUGGAUGGGAAGCUCUGUGCCGGCUCUGGUUCCCCACGGCAGCUCUGCAGACCCUCCUCUCGUUCCCAUGUUGUGUCGGCGCAGCAUUAUCUGCCCCAAUGAAUCACGCCGGGCAAAAUCGUCAGCAGCAGAACUUAAAUCGACAGGAAAUCAAAUUUCGUUGUCAUGAGGCCCAGCUGAGGAACUGGAGCUUUUUGUAACACGGCUUUCGGAGCUGAAAAACCCUCAUAUCCUGGAGUAAGAAGCCGGGCUCGGUGCUGGUGCUGAGGCAUCGUGACAUGGGGUGAUCCCCCAGCGCAUGCCAUGCCCACGGAGCUGCAGCCACCUCCAAAGCAGUGGGGCGGAUGGGAAUGCUGUCUGCUGCAGCUCCUGCCCUGAGAGCAGCCCCGGGACCUGGUGAGCCGUGGCUUUAUUAGCAGGAAGCUGAGCUGCUGAACAGUCUGUUGGCAUCUCUGUCCUGCAUACCUGCUCGGUCUGAGCGUUGGGCUUCCAGGUGUUGGGUCCCGAGUUGGUCACUCUUGGCCAUUGGUAGAGCCAGCGCCCUGUGCCCGAGGGGGCCAUUCCCAAUGGGUGCAGAACCCAAACGUGCCACAGAGGGUAAAAAAUGGACCAUUUUUUAGGUCAAAAACACAGGAGCAACCACAGACCUCCCGCGCAGCGGAGAGGGCGGGCAAAGUAGGUCAGGAGAAGUGCUCUGAGUUAACUUCAGCUGAAGAGCCUCAUUCUCAGAUCCGAACAGCUCGGGGAUGGCCGUGGGCUGAGCCGACCCCACGUGUGCUCAUCUCAGCAAGAGAAGAUGGCCCUUCAAUCGCCAUUCACCUCCAGCCACCAUUCCUGGGUAUCGCUCUGCUAAGUCCCAGCGCCUCUCCCUGCUGCCGCCCCGGGUGCAGCCACCCCUGCAGCCUCUGAUCCUCUGUAAUGAGCCAAACGAGUCCAGCCGGGACCGUCUGGAGUGCUGCAGGUCACACAUCAUGCGUGCUCAGACAGCGAGCGGUGCCGUCUAAUUAAAACACCGUGGAGGGAGGGGAGCUCCUUCCCAGCUCUGAUGUGAGCCGGUCUGCCCAGUCAGUGUCUCCAACCUCCCGUCUCCAUUUCCACGUGGAAAUAAUGGCUCUCCGGGGGUGAAGACUUUGAGUCGGCGGCGUUUCCGAAGGUGUGGGAAGGUCUCAGAUUGACACCCCGGGGCCUUUUUGGGGUGUGCGGAGCAACGAGCGGCCGCUGUGACAUCGAUGCUGGGGAUGUGGUGGCGGUUUGGCAGCACGGCAGUGGCCGGGCAGGGACAGGAACGGUGCCACGGGAUUUUCCUGGUGUUGGAUGGAUGGUGACUGCCACGAACCGCUCUGCACUCCUCCAUUCUGGGAAGCAGAAUCCUCUCUGUGUCCCCUGAGUCGCACCAUGGCCCCCAGCACGGUUAUGGUGCCGUCAGCGGGGCUGUUGCCGGCACCCUACGUGACCUCACCAAAUGGUUCCCGGCUCUUCUGACCCCGUGCCGUGGUCACUGCCCAGCCCUGGUGUCCCUGGAGCGUGCUGACAAUUUGGGGUGCCUCUGGGGCUUCUCCUUUGUAAGAUCUCGAAAGCAACGUGGGAGAUGAAUUCUGUGCUGCUCCUUUUCUAAAAGGAACCAACAUCCGGAGCAGCACAGCCUCCAGGAGGGCGGCAGAGGGGCCGAAAGCAGUCCCUGGUGGCUGUUCCUGCAGAGGCUGUGGGCAGCAUCUGGGCAGCCCCCUGCCCAGCAGCCACACUGUGGGGUC